GGAUGGAGUUAAGCACUGGCCAGGCUGUUUAGGAAAUGAAAUUUAUAUAGAUCUGCAUAAAGAGCAACCACGUUCUCAUGGCUGCUCGCGGCUUCUGAAGUGGAAACCAGAGGAGUUUCCCCAUUGUCUCUGUCUCGGGAGGCGAGUGUUCCAGUGGCCCUGGAGGCCUGGGGUGGGAAACUGUGUGUGCCACUGUGGUCUGGAGCCUGCACAGGCAUCUCGACAGCAUCUAGGAGCGCAAGGAUGGCAAGGGGGUGUGAAAGGGAGGGAGACCAUGCCCCAAGAUCAAGCCUGUGGGAAAGUUGUCCUGCAAGUGUGAGGAGUGUGAGCUCCAGUGUCCCCAGGUCUUCUCGGGGCCCCUAGCAGGGGUUUCAGUGUUAGGUGGAGGUGUGACUCAGUGACUGAUGUACUUCAUUCGCAUAGGUUGUAAAUGAGGGAACGAUGACUUCCCUGCAGGAGAGGAAAAGUCUUUUGGGGGUUCUGGGGCGGCUACUUCCCUUUGAUGGAGUUUCUUCUUCUCCAGUAGAAGAGCCACGUGCUGGAGCCAUUGUCCAGCCUUGCCCUGGAGGAGCAGUGUCUGGCUUUGUCCCUAGAUUGGUCCACUGGGAAAACUGGAAGGUAAGGGCCAGGCUUGGUCAGGGGUCCUGAGUCUUUCUCUGAGAACCACUUCCACUUUUCAGGCUAGAGGGCUCCAGCCACCUUCAGCGAGCUGCGACUGUGCUCCUCAGCCCUGACAUCAUCACUGCCAGUCCUAUUAUGAAAAAAAGGUCCCCCAUUUUAGAUACAUAGCGAUAGUGUUUUUACCUAGAGAAGUCGACACUGGUGUCUUUGACAAGCUUAGCAGUGGUUGUGAUCUUAGCCGCCAGUCUCUUAAGGGGCAUAUCCGCAUCCCAGGGCUGUGGAGACCGUCUCUCAGGACUUGUUUGGGAACCAGAAGAGGCUGACGAAUAACAUUCUGCCGGGCUUCUUCAUGGGUUCCCUGUGUCUAGGGCCGGGGACCAGCCCUUGAAGAUCAUCAGCAGUGACUCCACAGGGCAGCUCCACCUCCUGAUGGUGAAUGAGACGAGGCCCAGGCUGCAGAAAGUGGCCUCAUGGCAGGCACAUCAAUUCGAGGCCUGGAUUGCUGCUUUCAAUUACUGGCAUCCAGAAAUUGUGUAUUCAGGGGGCGACGAUGGCCUUCUGAGGGGCUGGGACACCAGGGUACCCGGCAAAUUUCUCUU
rnacentral:lncRNA from 1 species